CCAGGAGGUGUUCUGCAGAAAUAACUGGCAGGAUUUGAGCAUGUCCUGGGUGUGAGGAGCUGCAGAUCACAAAGAAGAUGUUCCUGGCCUGAGCGACGAGCAAUCCUGGGCUGCAAACAAGACUGAAAAAGGAUAAUGGAUACCUUGGGGAAAAAGGGCCAUGGAAGGCUUUGUGCAUCCCUGUGGAUACCUUGGAAGGAGAAAUAUCUGAGAAGGUGAAAAUCUGCAGGAGCUGCAUCCUGCCAAGCAGCAUGCUGAGAAGUUUUCCUCUCCCAAACUAAGCAGAUGUUAGUCAAAGUCUGAAGUUCCUUUAUUUUCCUUUAAUGAAAUUACUAAGCAAACAUUUUGGAGAAGGAAAAUUCACGACCUCAUUAAGCAGGAGCCACGGCCCUUCGCCAUUUCCAUUUCUGUUCUGUCUGGAAUUCGGCUGCCUGCCGUUAAAAUGCCAAAAUUCAUCACGAAUUAAACGACCAAAGACUGCGAGAUGCUGCAGUUAUUUCCUUCUCUUCACCUAAGAAGUGUUGAGGUGGUUUAGAGGUAAUGUAAAGGAUUUUUAAUAGUGAUGCACCAGGGUAAUGUCAAAUAUCUUCUAGCAGUGACAUAAUGCGAGCAAGGGUAGGAAAAAAUGUGUCAUUUCACAUCUCAACAAGCACAAAGAAGUUUGAAGAGCUGAUUUCCCAUUGCAAUCAUCUGGGUUCCUGUCCUAGGGAAAGGCUCAAGACUGAGUAAAAGAUGUUGGAGUAGAUAAUGAUGAAUAGAAAGAAAGUUUAAAAAAAAGAGAAUGGAUGAGAAAAGGGUGAAGGGUAAUGAAAAGUGAAGCAGGAAACAUGGAUCAGCCAAGAGAUAGCGGUGAUUUUAGUUAGUGACCUUGAGAUAGCUCACCUGGGACCUGUUUUUCAGAGACUGGAGGGAAUCUUUUGACUUUCAGAGAUGCUCAGGAAGCCAGAUUGCAGCCCAGAAUUACCAGGCACUUUUGUAAAGAGCUUCUUUACUAGCCUGGAAAGUGCAUCUGUGGGUGGAAAAUGUCCUUCCAUGCCCCAUUUCCAUUGCAUCUCGAUGGAUCCCUGGAGCUGCCUCCUGCUUUUACAGUCCUUUCGUAUCUCCUGGCUCUCCUUGUGUUAUGAUCUCAGUUUAGUACCUGAACUUGUGAUGAAAUUCAUGAGGAAAAUUCCCUGAUGGCUUGGUCAAUCUCCUGCUGUAGUCUUAGGGCCUUAGUUUGAAACCUAUUAAGGAUCCUGUGUACACCAAAGGUGAAAAGGUUUUGUGUUGGAGCAAAAUUCCUUCGGAAAUGUUCCAAAAAAAGCAAAAGAAGAACCAAGAAAGCAUGGUAACAGCUUACAGUAAGAGAGGAAACAGUUAAGUAGUCAUUUUCUAUUAUAAGAAAUAGACUUUUCAAUUAAUUUCUUCUUUAGAGAAAGCUAAAUCAUUCACGAUAUUUAAAUAAAUGUGUCCAGUUUAGACACUGAAAGACCAUCUCUGACAUCCCAAGUGUAUUUAUUCUUGUUUAUUCCUACGGUAAUAACUUGACAGAAGAUCUGCAUCGCUGUUAUUGCUUCUUACAGGAGGACUAAGCCCAAGAAAAACAGGCUGUUGGGUCUGACCUGCUGAUUAAUGAGUGAUAACAAAGCAUUAUUACAAUCUGUGUGCAUCUGAAUGUCAGCUGAGAGGAAGAAAGGAAGAAUCAGCUGGGAAAAAUAACUAAGAUGCAAUGAAGUGUACACACAUCUCUUUAAAAAUGACAUAACAUUGAAAUUGAAAACAAAAUAUGGCUAAAGCUAGAGGUCUAAAAAAGGGAACGAUGUGAGAUGAAACAAUAUUUUUUAGUUUUUUCUCGAAAGAACAGGAAAUUGUGGUGUUAGCCCAGUGGUUUGAUUUUUACCUUAAACACUCGCUUUAUAUCCUUUUGUGCCCUGAAAGACUCUGCUUCUUGUACAAAAAGGUAGGGCAGCGUGCCAGAAAGUCAGGUUCAAUCUCUUUGGAGAAGUCCUCAGCCGCAGCUCAUGGGCUCCAGCCUCUCUUCUGCCUUGGCGUUACGUGGCAGCAGUUACAGAAAAAGCUUUAGGGCAGGAUAAAUGUGAAACGCUUCCAUUUGGGGCCGUAAAUAUUUUUCAGAAGUGAAAAAUAGACAAAAUAGUAGGAGAGAAUAGGACGGAAUGCUUCCUAAAUCCUUCAGGUCUAUAGAAGAAAAUCCCCACCUGCUGUCCCAAAUCAUUUCCAUCAACUUCAGGGUGACUCCCUCAGUGUAUGGCCACUUUCUUUCUCAGAAAGUCUGAGGAGGACAUAUAAAUCCACUUAAUACUGGAAAACAAGACAGCAAGAGAAAUCCUAACAACUUAUUUAAAUAUUGAAUGAAUGAAACAAGCCACUAAAGUAAAAUAAUGCUGCUCAGGCUACUGGUGUGUUGAGCUCAGCAGUGUUUGUGUUGUCUCGUGCUUUCCUUGUGAUUUCCUGACUGCCUCUCUCCAUCUGCUGGCUCCUAUAUUUAGGCUGCAAACAUUUGUUUGGGUGUUCAGAGGGCUCGGCCCUUUUGGUCCUGAUCCACGACCGAUACUCUGAGAUGUUGCUGCCACGUUAAUUGUAGUGUAGGAGGCACUUACUCCACUCUUUCCUUUACGUGAUGCGUUGGAUGAAGCGUGCUGAGACUGGAGACAUUUCAGAACAUGUUGGUGUCGACUGCCCAGGGAUAGCUUUGUUGUGCCAGGUGCUAAAUAAAC